rnacentral:rRNA from 1 species
CCUACGGGGGGCAGCAGUGGGGAAUAUUGGACAAUGGGGGCAACCCUGAUCCAGCCAUGCCGCGUGUGUGAAGAAGGCCCUCGGGUUGUAAAGCACUUUCAGUGAGGAAGAACGCCUGGUGGUUAAUACCCAUCAGGAAAGACAUCACUCACAGAAGAAGCACCGGCUAACUCCGUGCCAGCAGCCGCGGUAAUACGGAGGGUGCGAGCGUUAAUCGGAAUUACUGGGCGUAAAGCGCGCGUAGGUGGCUUGAUAAGCCGGUUGUGAAAGCCCCGGGCUCAACCUGGGAACGGCAUCCGGAACUGUCAAGCUAGAGUGCAGGAGAGGAAGGUAGAAUUCCCGGUGUAGCGGUGAAAUGCGUAGAGAGCGGGAGGAAUACCAGUGGCGAAGGCGGCCUUCUGGACUGACACUGACACUGAGGUGCGAAAGCGUGGGUAGCAAACAGGAUUAGAUACCCGUGUAGUC